rnacentral:lncRNA from 1 species
GAUGGACUCUCCACUAGCACCAAACAGCACGAAGGCAUCUUCAUUCAAUUUUUUUAUUUCCUGCAGACCCUGCAAUAGUUUGUAAAAGUGUGAACCAUAAGUGGUAUCUAAUAUCCAAGAAUUUGAAGUUGAAGUAUUCCAUAAUAAAUUUAUUUGUAUCAUAUACAAACCUACAGCAAUACUUGCUUCUUUUUGCUUCAAACAUGCAAAGUAGUCCUUGCAAUUCGUCUUCUAAUGCCCAUCCUUACCAUAGUGAUAACAA